rnacentral:rRNA from 1 species
UGCCAGUGAUAAACUGGAGGAAGGUGGGGAUGACGUCAAGUCAUCAUGGCCCUUACGACCAGGGCUACACACGUGCUACAAUGGCGCAUACAAAGAGAAGCGACCUCGCGAGAGCAAGCGGACCUCAUAAAGUGCGUCGUAGUCCGGAUUGGAGUCUGCAACUCGACUCCAUGAAGUCGGAAUCGCUAGUAAUCGUGGAUCAGAAUGCCACGGUGAAUACGUUCCCGGGCCUUGUACACACCGCCCGUCACACCAUGGGAGUGGGUUGCAAAAGAAGUAGGUAGCUUAACCUCCGGGAGGGCGCUUACCACUUUGUGAUUCAUGACUGGGGUGAAGUCGUAACAAGGUAACCGUAGGGGAACCUGCGGUUGGAU